AGAGAGAGAAAGAGAGAGAGAAAGAGAGAGAAAGCUCACCUGAGCUCGUCGCCGGAGCAACCGUGUGCCGUGAUCACGUUCAGCUUGCCACCACCGAUAAACGCCCUAGGUAACCGUCGGAAACCGCAUUCCUUAAGCUCAUUUUCGUUUCCGUUUAGUAAAUCACCCAUAACUUCCUAACCAUUGAUCAUCUCGUACAUCCAAGGCCAUCAUCGUGUUCCUCUCGUCGAGACGAAGCCGUAGACACCAACCACGCCUCAAACGGAGCCCAAACGAAGCUGUUCCUCUCGUCGAGACGAAGCCGUAGACACCAACCACGCCUCAAACGGAGCCCGGACGAAGCCUCCUGAUGUAGUCGGUAAACCCGUCACGAAAUCCAUAGUUACCAUGUCCCAGCACGCGCCUCCCGAAGAUUCGCCUCGGCGCGCGCGUGAAACUCACGCGCCACCGCCGUCCGCCGGAGCCACCGCGAGUUCCGGCCACGCGCCGCCGUCUCCGACCAACGUUCGCCGGAGCCGCCGUGACCGACCACCGUCCGUCCACCGCCGGGUCGCCGCCGUCGCUGCCGUUGAUUUUCCGGUAAGCCGCCGCCGUCGCCGCCGGCGACCGACACCGGUGACUCGCCGGUGACUCGCCAACUCGGCCGAGUCAACCCGGUGAGUCAACUCGGUGACUCGGUCAACCGGUGGUUUGACCGGUUUAAAUCGAUUUCGAUUCGGUUUGAUUAAACCGGUCGGUUAAAAUCAAUUGGAAAUCGGUUAGGGAAAACCGGAUUAAUUAAUUAAUUAAUUAAUUAAUUAAUUAAUUAAUUAAUUAAAUUAUUAAUCUUUGACCAGCAGGUUGACUUUCCCGUAAAUACCCGUUUUAAACCGUUCGAAAGGCGUUCUGACUCGAAAUUUCGAUCUGAUUUCAGAUUUGGAGUCCAUUUGAGCAGCUGGAGUUCAUAGAUACCACCUCUUAUUGUUGCUAAGGUGAGGGUCUAUUCCCGAACUCCUCUUAUUCGGCUUAGGACCUCGAAUAAGUAUAAUUUAUUUUUAAUGUGUUCCGUCUGUGUGAAAUCGAGUCUGUCAUUGCUUGUUUAGUUUUAGGUUCUUUGCAUAAACCGGAACUAGGGGGUUAGAGGAUUCAACAUUGAUUGUUUCACUUAAUGUAAAUUCUUAGCUAGGAUUGUUUUUGUUUGGAGACGGAUACAGAGUCGGACUGCUGUAUGCCGGAUUGUAUGGAGGUCACGGCCAACUUUAGUCGACCGGUUGAGCCGUAGACUGGAAGUGUCGAUAAAUCGUCUACGGGCGUGUGUUACCGAGCACUUUUUCGGUGUGUGUAUGAACCGAGCACCUUUUCGGUAGUGUUUUGGCCUGUUAGUGGGCGGCGAGUGCGCACCUCGCUAGGACCAUUGUUUGUUGCUUGAGUACUUUAGGUACUGUGUUUGACAUGCAUUAGAAUUAAAUUAUAUUUAUUCGGAGUGCUAUGUCCGGGUCCAUGGACUUCGGGGUAGCAUCCCAUACCUCGCUGAGCGAUUCCCCUGUCGCUCACCCCUCAUUCUUUCCCCCUUUUAGGUGAGACCGAUGAGCAGGAGUGAUUAUCGGACCGGUGCUAUUGGGCUUUUGGGCUUCUAUCGCUUUUACCGCUUUUAUCUUUAUCGGGCCUUUAGGCCUUUGGACUUUUAUCGUCUAUGUUAUUCCUAUUUCAGACUUUCGGUUUAUAUCGUAUUUUAUAUUUCGGAUGUUAUCGAUGUUGGGCUUUUUGGCCUUUUGUUACCGUAUUGACUUUUAUAUUAUAUGAAGAUUAUUAUUAUUUGAGUUGUAUUAUUAUUUUAUUUUCGCUUUUAUCAAUUUAUUAUAUUUUGAAAGUGGCGGGUGUCACAAUUUGGUAUCAGAACGGGUUCCGUCCCGGCUCCGACCCGGGAUGGCGAUUUUUGGAGACCUGGUUUUAUUCGGUUUUGACGGUUUUACACGAUUUCAAAAUAUUUUCGGGGAUUUGGGAAUUUUGAAAAUAAAAAUAAAUAGCACCUUUUCGUUCGAUAUCACUGCUCCUUAAAAUGUUGGUAUCCAAAGUUCAGCGUAAGUUAACUUUUCGCUUUCCUUUUAGAUGCCGCCAAGGAGAAGAACCACCCGUGCCCAGACCGCCAGAGCCGUUAGAGACAAUGUAGAUGAGCAUGAGCAGCCCGCAGUUCCACCACCCGCGGCUCCACCAGUUGAUCAGGAUGCAUUGAGACAGAUGGUUCAGGAUGCCGCUAGACAGGCCGCUCAGGAAGCACUUCAGCAGAUUGCCCAGGAGGCAGCCAGGCAGGCCGCUCAGGAGGCCGCCCGAGUAGCUGCUCAGGAGGUUGCUCGUCAGAUGGCUGCCGUUCAGCCGGGA
rnacentral:lncRNA from 1 species